rnacentral:siRNA from 1 species
UCGGUGAUUUGUUAUUGUGGACGU